AUCAUGGUAUAAGCAGCAGUUAAAUUUCUCAAUGUCACUGAUUUCUUGCCGUUUUGGAAAGUGACAAUAAAUUGGCUACCUACCAUUCUUGACCUUUUGACUUUGGAACCUCUGCUGACCAAAUCUUAGCUUGCCUUGUUUAAGUCAGCAGCUCUGGUAUCACUCUGAUCCUCUCCCAGAGGGUCUGAAGCUUUCACUCACGCUCCUGAACGGGUAAGCUCCCCCUCUAGUGUUCACUGCUCAUCAGAUUAUUCCUCUAACAAAUAAGACAGAGAAUUGCCUGUUUUUUUUUGGUUCCCUAUCAAAGGACGGAGCUUGGGCCAACAUUUAUAACGGUUUAAUGACACAAAGAGGAAAAGAGUUUUUAAAGAAUACUUCGCUGAAAUGAUGCCAUCAGGAAGGAGACAUUUUUACCUCUGUCACCUAUCAACGUGAGACCAUAGCAGUCUGGAGUACGAGAAGAAACCCUGGAAUUUUGAAGAGAGAUGAUGAAAAG